CCGCUCCAUCCCACCAGACUCCCCUCCGCCGCCGCGACCUAUGGCUCCAUCCCCUGUCCCUGCCGCCGGAAGUGAAGGUGUCCUCAUCCACGCGCUCCCGGACCCCCAUCCCUGCUGCCGCCGGUGAAGGUAUCUUCGUCAUCCUCGCGCUCCCCCUCGCUGCUGUCACCGUCGUCCGUGCACACCGCCGUGCGGACCGUGCCCCUCAACCCCCUUCCAUCCCUGCCACCACCGGGGUCGCGGCUGCCAAUAGCUCCGACGCCGACCUCAGUACAUCCGCCGCCCUAACCCCCGCCCUCCACCACGUCCCCGGCCCUUGUUCCGGCCGUCGCCGCUCCUUUUCUCUCCUGCAAAGCCCCUUCUGCAGAUCCAUCAGUCGCAUGCCCGUUUCUGCAGAGCGGCAUCGUCUUGGCCAUAUCUCUCCAAGUGCUGCAGGCCAGAGGAAGUUGUCUUUGCUUGGUAAGUGGCGAUGAUGAGGAUCCCCAUUUACUAAGAAGUUUACUUGUUGGAUCUGUACUGAGAAGUCUAAUAAUGCAGAAAAGGGAUUGAGUGCUACUGAAGUUAGUGUUUACUUAGGUAUAUCUUGCUAUUAAUAUAUAUAUACUGCUGCCUUUUUAGUCCAUUUGUUUACUUACCGAUAUACUUUGCAUUUAUCAGUUUGUUCUACACUGGUUUCAGAUUUGGGUGGAUGGGUUGUUGUCAUUGUGAUGCAACAGAGGAAUCAGCGCUGGCCACGAGGAGAUUAGAGGCUUGAGAUGGAUGCUACGAUGGUGGUGGCAAAGUUAGGAGCUUGAGAUUUACAGGGACGAGGUGUAUGAUAGCACAGAUUAAUGUUCAAGUCUUCAUCAGCAGCACCUUGACAUGAAUCCUAAGAUCCAUCGGCAUUAUUUCUUGAUUAUUUUCUAGGGAAGAAUCCGAAGAUGAAUUGUUUCUUUAUUUUUUAACAAAUUUCAUGGCUUAGCAUCUUAUGUGUUCCAUCUAACUCUACCUGCAAUUUAUAUCUACUCCAAGUACACCACAUUCAGAAUUGAUAUACAGCCUACAGUUAGAUCAGUUCAGAUUUUGCCAUGACAAUAUUACCGGUAUUAUUCAUGAUUCCUACGUUGUGUAUAUCACUGUAGAAUACUACCUCUAUUCCAGAAUAUGGUUGUAUAUAGCAAAAUAGUUGUAUAAGUCUUUUAAAUUUAUGUUCUUCUGUACAUUGUCCUCUACUACCAUUAAUUUUCCCUUUUUUCAAAUUGAAAUUUGAAAAGAGCAUGAGUUUUGAUAGGAUUUUGUAUAUCCUUCAGUUGCUUGCUGUAACAUGUGCCUUCUGGUACAUUGAUGUUGAUAGAAGCAUACCAUUUUCCUAUAAUUUCUUCAUCACAAAGAUGUUCUAUUUGUUUAGUUGGCACCAACAUCCAGCUGAAUGUUUAUAGGAGGGUUAUUAGUAAAGCAAAUAUGUUCAUGAGGAAAUGUACCAGCAAAAAAAUCGAGCCAAAGUGUAAUUCAAAAGCUCUUAACAAAUUUUGCGUGUUCCUUAUGUUUUUAUUGUAAUUCUUAUUACUUUUAGCUGGCAUUGAUAUACGAAAGAAUAUCUUGUCGCUUUUUUGCCCUCUCAUCGACCAUUGUAUUUUUUUAGUCAUAUCAAUCUAUCUAAAAGAAAGAAUGCAACACCUUAUGUUUUUAUAUUUUUGGAAAUGUCUUAGGCGUGUUGUUUCAUAUAACUAUAUGCUAUGCUGCCUAUGCCUUUUCCCGUAACCUUAGUAUGUUCAUUGUUUUAUCUUUCAUAUCCUUCAUCUUAAACUGAAAAGUAUGAACCAUUGCAUUGUGCUAAACUUUAUCAGUGAAUUUCGUGUAACAAGCUGAAAUAGAAUUUUUCUCUGUUGCAAUUGGAAGCAUGUCACAUGAGUAUUGAGCUGCCAUUAUCUACAAAUUCUUUAUUUGUUGAUAUGAACAUUAGUUGCAACAUGAAUAAUCAAUGUUAGUCGACAAUGUUGCUUCAUGUGCAUGAGCAUAUGGUGUAUCUCUGACACCAUUCAUUUUGAACCACUAAAAUAAUAGAAGUGGUUUGAUUCGUAAGUUAUUUUACAGGUUUCUAUACAACACUUAUUUGUUUUGUAUUCGCUGCAACGUAUGAACUUGAUUGCUUUUCAAAAAUGUCGAACCACUAGAACCACUAAAAUAUGUACGCCCUAUUGCAAAACACGGCCCUUGUGCUAGAACAAACAUAACUAACUACAUCCUGUUCAUCCCUAUCCUGGCUAGAAGUAGUAGAGAGAUGAGAGUUGAAUCUUAUAGUAUGAUGCGUACUUUAUGAUUUUAUUGAUGGUGAGCCGAGUUAUCUAUAUUGAACAUAUUUUUCUUUUUUGCGGGAUGGUUGUUACAUGUUUGCGCAUUUUUUCAGAGCAAUUUGCAGUGGAAGAAGCAACCUCAUAUUGAUAAGAAGGCAAUGGUUAUUCUAUGAAGUAGCGGUUAUUGUUGUAGCUCAAGGAUGACAAGAAGGCAACUAAUGUGCCCAGGAGGUGUGCAGGUAUUACGACAUAACAGAUACAUUAAGAUUAUUGUUUCUCUCUCAUAAAUAUACAUAGAUCAUUUUGAGCCUCGACUAGAGUGCCAGAUUUCUGCCCGAACUUAUAACAUUACUAGAUAAACGUUCUGUAUCUUGAUGAUAAAACUGAACUCCACAUGAUGUAGUUUAUAAUUAAAAUAUGAAAAAACACACAACAUGAUCUGAAGCGCACAUACAUUGCUUAGGAGUUAACAUGCACUUUGGUGUUAUCACCUUGAUGGUCACAAUCUGAAGAUCACAUGGCAUAAACUGAACUUUACAUACUACAGCUUUUUGUCUAAAGUUGUACAUUUUAUUUCUACUUCAUCAGAUAACGUAGAAACACAAUUAUUUUCAAACUUGUGCUUCUCUUGGCUGCCAAUCUCCCUAUGAGCUUCAAAGAACUUGUGCUGACUACACUUUCUACCAAAUUCUUGUGGAGUAUUUUCAGGUAAUCAGCCACCUAGUACACAUAGAUGUGGUGACUUUGGAGUGUUAUAGAGCAUUUGGCUGUACCAGCCAACUCAAUUGUAAUCAUGAAGCUUAUGUGUGUUCUGGACCAUUUGGUGCUUAAGUGUUAUGGAUUAGAAAUCUUGUGCUCAUGGAUGUAACUCAAGUGUUUUGGACCAUUUAGCAAAUAGGGGUACUUUUAUGUGACUUGUGUUUCCUGGAGGGUUGUAAGAUAGACAAACUUUGCUAUGUCAAGAUUGACUUGUGUUUAAGCCUGUGAUCAAUAUAUAUGUAUUUUUGGUACCAGAUUAUCAAUGAUUGUGCAAUAUGUGUUCAUCUUGAUCCUGUUUGUGGAUAACAAUACAUCGUUG
rnacentral:lncRNA from 1 species